GUAGGUGGCAAGCGUUGUCCGGGAAUUAUUGGGGCGUAAAGCGCGCGCAGGCGGUCCUUUGAGUCUGAUGUGAAAGCCCACGGGCUCAACCGUGGAGGGUCAUUGGAAACUGGGGGACUUGAGUGCAGAAGAGAAGAGUGGAAUUCCACGUGUAGCGGUGAAAUGCGUAGAGAUGUGGAGGAACACCAGUGGCGAAGGCGACUCUUUGGUCUGUAACUGACGCUGAGGCGCGAAAGCGUGGGGAGCAAACAGGAUUAGAUACCCUGGUAGUCCACGCCGUAAACGAUGAGUGCUAAGUGUUAGAGGGUUUCCGCCCUUUAGUGCUGCAGCAAACGCAUUAAGCACUCCGCCUGGGGAGUACGGCCGCAAGGCUG
rnacentral:rRNA from 1 species